UUUGAUUGGACUCGAAUGAGG
rnacentral:piRNA from 1 species